UCUAGGAUCUUUUCCUUCAACAAUACUCCAACCUUAACUGAGAUCACAGUCAAAGGGUGUAUUGAUAUCUGUUUGAAAUGAAGCCAGUUUUGAAAUUCCAGCCAAAAAGUCUGUACAGAUUCACAUUUCAAAAACAUAUGAUCAACAGUUUCAAUAUCUUUCUCACAGAACCCGCAUGAAUUGUUCUCCCAAUUAAAUCUUUCUUGUAGGAAGUGAUUAGAUGGAUAAAUGUCCUUUAGAAUUUUAAAUGUUACUUCUUUGGCUUUAGGAAGAACUGGAUAAGUAAAAUAACACUUCCUUAUUUUCUUUGCCUCUUCUUCAAUAAAUUCUUGAAGAACAUACUUUCUUUUCAGUUGACUGGGGAAGUACAGUUUGGAUAAUACAUUUCUGAUAAACUUAUUUGUUAAUUGUUUGCUCUUUAAAUUUUUACCUUUAGUACAUGAUGGAUAGCAUAGAUGUAACUUAGUUUUUGGUGGCUUGUGGUAAAAUAACGUAGUGAAUAAUGAAAGGACACGAUCGUUUUGUAUGUGUAUUCCUUUAGCAUUUGUUGUAUAAUUUUAAAAAGGUCAUAUGAGGUGGUUGUUUUCAUAUUUAAUUUUUCAUUCACUUCCAGGGAUAGGAUUGGCAUAGAAGAUGCAGCACUCUUUACAUUUUAAAUGUAUGUUGCCACCUUAGAAGUCAAGGUCUUUUUACAUGUGACAUUAACAUAUUUAUUUUUUCUAUUUUGUUGUUCUGUUAUUCUAUUGUUUUACUUUUUUUGUUUCAGAUCAAAUGUAUAUCAAGUGUUAUCCAUCCUCAUAACACCUCCACAAAUAGAGACUGAAACUUCUGAGCACCAUCACCUUGUCUGCUAUGGGACUGUCAUAGCCCAGCAAUCAGAUGCAUCAGAACAACAAAGCACAACUGUGGUGGACCAGGCACCUUCAGCAACAAGUAAAUUGCUUUAACAUUAAUGAUAAUUAAAUGUCAGUAUUGUAAUUAAACUUGACCCAUCUGACGUAAUUGUUCAUGCCAGAGAUUUAACAACACUGUCAGUCAGGAGCAUAUUUAACAGGAGGCACACUUCAGCUGGCUUGAUGGUGACUUCAGUGCAGUGAAGAUAUUUAAAAAGACACUAUCUAAAGUACAGAAAGCCGUACAUAAUCUCUAGUUGCAGUCGCCUACAGUGCAGCCAGCUUCACAAAGACUGUGGGGCUGGUCACCAGGAAAAUGGCCAACAAGGAGUGCUUUUGGGGUUUUACUCCUCAGAUGACCACCCUGGCUACUGUAGCUGGGAUUGCUUCACAGACAAUGGAGGUCUUGAAGAGUAAAGUGCGCAUGCAUGUGAACACAUUGUGUUAUUACAGUAACAAUUAUGGUCACUUGCAGUUCAUGUCUUUUCAAUGUAGUGUAAGAUGUGUUAAUUAUUAUUAUUACUCAAAAACCAUUAAAACUUCUAAAUUGUGGAAGUUAUUCUUCAUAAUUUUACUGUGGUUAUUUUGUAUAUGUUGUUAUUUUGAUUAAAAUACAAAAUUCAACACACAUAA